GACGAACGCUGGCGGCGUGCUUAACACAUGCAAGUCGAACGGAAAGGCCCUGCUUUUGUGGGGUGCUCGAGUGGCGAACGGGCGAGUAACACGUGAGUAACCUGCCCUUGACUUUGGGAUAACUUCAGGAAACUGGGGCUAAUACCGGAUAGGAGCUCCUGCUGCAUGGUGGGGGUUGGAAAGUUUCGGCGGUUGGGGAUGGACUCGCGGGUUAUCAGCUUGUUGGUGGGGUAGUGGCUUACCAAGGCUUUGACGGGUAGCCGGCCUGAGAGGGUGACCGGCCACAUUGGGACUGAGAUACGGCCCAGACUCCUACGGGAGGCAGCAGUGGGGAAUAUUGCACAAUGGGCGGAAGCCUGAUGCAGCAACGCCGCGUGCGGGAUGACGGCCUUCGGGUUGUAAACCGCUUUCGCCUGUGACGAAGCGUGAGUGACGGUAAUGGGUAAAGAAGCACCGGCUAACUACGUG
rnacentral:rRNA from 1 species